rnacentral:rRNA from 1 species
GUUAGGAAUCUUCCGCAAUGGACGGAAGUCUGACGGAGCGACGCCGCUUGGAGGAGGAAGCCCUUCGGGGUGUAAACUCCUGAACUGGGGACGAAAGCCCUGUGUAGGGGGAUGACGGUACCCAGGUAAUAGCGCCGGCCAACUCCGUGCCAGCAGCCGCGGUAAUACGGAGGGCGCGAGCGUUACCCGGAUUUACUGGGCGUAAAGGGCGUGUAGGCGGCCUGGGGCGUCCCAUGUGAAAGGCCACGGCUCAACCGUGGAGGAGCGUGGGAUACGCUCAGGCUAGAGGGUGGGAGAGGGUGGUGGAAUUCCCGGAGUAGCGGUGAAAUGCGCAGAUACCGGGAGGAACGCCGAUGGCGAAGGCAGCCACCUGGUCCACUUCUGACGCUGAGGCGCGAAAGCGUGGGGAGCAAACCGGAUUAGAUACCCUUGUAGUCC